rnacentral:rRNA from 1 species
CAUCUAGGCGGUUAAUCAAGUCGAAGGUGAAAACUUGUGGCUCAACCAUAAGCUUGCCUACGAAACUGAUUAACUAGAGUACUGGAGAGGUGGACGGAACUACACGAGUAGAGGUGAAAUUCGUAGAUAUGUGUAGGAAUGCCGAUGAUGAAGAUAGUUCACUGGACAGAAACUGACGCUGAAGUGCGAAAGCUAGGGGAGCAAACA